UACAAUUAGCUUGUGAAGGAAAUCAAAAAUGCAGGUCAAAUGACACUUCUCAACUUGCACCAAAGGCUGCAGACUGGUACCAGUGAAAUGGCAUUUCUCUUCUUCCUAAUGGAGGCUAAUUUAAAUGUUCCCAUCUGUUAAAGAUAAGAAACCCAGGACCCUGAGAUAGCAAACAUUUUGCCCACAAUCAUACAGUCAGCAUGGAGAAUGGGGAUCUAAAUUGGAGAAGCCUGAAGAAAGCUCUGCUGAUAAGGAAUGCCAGAUCCUAACUGUGCUGCUGAUACAGCUGUCCUGGGCAAGAAGGAAAACAAAACGGGACACUGCCUGAUGA